GUCAGAGCCCCUCUAGAGAGACUUUAGCAAAACUCUAAGAGUCAAGAAGCCAGCGCACAGGCACCACAGACACAUAUUUAACCAUAAUGCUACGUAACGUGUUCAGAGCUCAAACCUGUCGAAAUGUAAGCUGGUUCUCAAAAGGCAGCAAGACAGAACUGGCUGCACACCAUGCAAUGAUUAAAUGGAAAAGAAGUAUGAGAACCCUGCACUGGCAAGACAUACAUCUUCACAGUUGCAACCAAAAACUUGGCUUCACUUAUAUAGAGCAUUUACUGGAGGCCUGUUUUAAAAUCAAAUCUGGGACUCUCCACCAUCUGACCUUAGAACCUAAUAAGCUUCUCGGAUGAGAGGUGAAGCAUCUUCAAGCAACUUAAAGAAGUCCAGACGCUUUUCUUUCCAAGCUCCUCAGACUGUCUUAAACAUAGCUACUUCUCUCCCAAAUACAAGGAUGGCUGUUAGCUUUGAUCCCUGGAUCCUGCAGCCUGCGUGUCAAAAGGUCUUGAGGCUACUGUCAUUUUGGUUGUUUGUAUACAAAUAAAAGUUAAUUGAGUAAGAUUGUGAAAUUCAAUAUGCAUCCACUGCUUCCAUUAGCGAGCGAUCAAUAAAAAAGGUAUUAACAGCAUGAAGUACCUUGCUUUGGGCUUUGAGUGCCUAGUAAUGGUGAAAAAUGCUUCAUAAAUACCAGUCCAUUUACAAAGAUAUUGGUUGUAUCAUAUAACCAACAAUAUCACAAUGACAGUGGCAGCUAAUUUUGUGCUGCUUUUGCUCUCAGAACUCGGUCUUCUGUGCUGCAUGGUGCUCUAGACUCUAGAAACCCCCAUAAAUCAAAAAAUUGUUAAAUGCAUGAUUAGUGGGAUUCAAUAAAUGUGGUACAAAAGUUAAACAGAAAAUUGUAUUGCAUAUAUAACAAUCAUAUUUAAAGUGAAAUAUAAGUAUUGUGUCAAUAAUGAGAAUAAAUUGUAGUAAUUUUGUCAAUAAUACUUUUGGAAUGAAGGGGUGGAAUGGUGGUCAUCAUCUGAUAUUUUGAGAACAACUUUUCAUGACCUAAUUUUUGGCAGAAUUCAUUUAGAUACUACCUGAGUAGACUGUUGUUAUCAGGCUACUAGAUGCUAUGGAGAGUUCAGCUGUAUGGCAAAUCCUUUACCUGCUCCUGGAGGAUUCUACUCUGGUUGCUCAUGAGAGAAUCCUCUAAGUCUGAUCAAGGGUAAGGCAUAGGUGGCGCCAGUGACCAUCUUUCUCUUGGAAGGAGGCAGCUAGCAGGCAUGGCUAAUCUUGCCCCAUGGAGCAACUUACCCCAGUCUCUCCCUUCUUCUCCCAGGACUGCCUGGGGAAUAUAACAAUGCCCCGAAACAGAGUCCACUAAAUCCAAAGGAUCAACUGCCAGCAUCCCAGUGCUCGACACCAUGCGACACCCCCAGAGAUCUUGGGUCUGGUCCAUGACCUGAAGAACUCAGAGACGUUUUGGCAGCACAAAAAGGCCCGACACAUUAGGGUUUUGGCUGAUGAAAAUUUGCAGCACAUAAAAAGAUCAUUAAAAAUGAUGUUAACAUGUUUAACUUUGCUAGAAUAAUUGAAAAAGGAGGAUUGUAGGAUUUUAUUGUCAGUACUGGAGCAAAAGUGUAUGAAUGCCUAUUGCGGUGACACAUGAUGUAAUGGUGGCUUAACACACUGUCAUGUGUGGAGCGUGUGUUGCACCUCUCGGAGACGGGGCACGGGAAAUUUCUCGCCUAUGACAUGAGGAAGAUAUUUCCUCUUCUUUGAUUGACCCAAGGAUGCUAGUUAGGGCUUCCAGGCCUGCAGUGCAGCUCCAGCGUGACGUCAGUGUCGCUCCUUGUGUAACACGCUUCAACUUAGCUGGUCUGGGUGUAUGAAGUAAUGUCUGUCAGGGCCAUCUAUC
ensembl:lncRNA